rnacentral:rRNA from 1 species
CCUACGGGAGGCAGCAGUCGAGAAUCAUUCACAAUGGGGGAAACCCUGAUGGUGCGACGCCGCGUGGGGGAAUGAAGGUCUUCGGAUUGUAAACCCCUGUCAUGUGGGAGCAAAUUAAAAAGAUAGUACCACAAGAGGAAGAGACGGCUAACUCUGUGCCAGCAGCCGCGGUAAUACAGAGGUCUCAAGCGUUGUUCGGAAUCACGGGGCGUAAGGCGUGCGUAGGCUGUUUCGUAAGUCGUGUGUGAAAGGCGCGGGCUCAACCCGCGGACGGCACAUGAUACUGCGAGACUAGAGUAAUGGAGGGGGAACCGGAAUUCUCGGUGUAGCAGUGAAAUGCGUAGAUAUCGAGAGGAACACUCGUGGCGAAGGCGGGUUCCUGGACAUUAACUGACGCUGAGGCACGAAGGCCAGGGGAGCGAAAGGGAUUAGAUACCCUAGUAGUC